CUAAGCGGAGGAGAAGAAACUAACCAGGAUUUCCCUAGUAACGGCGAGCGAACCGGAAAGAGCCCAGCUUGAAAAUCGGGGUGCCUCGCACCCCGAAUUGUGGUCUGGAGAAGGUCCCUCUGCGCCGCGCCGGACCCAAGUUCCCUGGAAAGGGACGUCGGAGAGGGUGACAACCCCGUCGAGUCCGGGACGUGCGUCGCUCCACGAGGACCUGUCUGCGAGUCGGGCUGUUUGGGAAUGCAGCCCUAAGCGGGUGGUAAAUUCCAUCCAAGGCUAAAUAUUGGCAGGAGACCGAUAGCGAACAAGUACCGCGAGGGAAAGAUGAAAAGGACUUUGAAAAGAGAGUUAAAAGUGCUUGAAAUUGCUGGGAGGGAAGCGAAUGGAAGCUGCGGGUGCGCCCCGGUUGGAUGCGGAACGGCUUCGGCUGGUCCGCCGCUCAACGCGGGGCGCUGGUCAGCGUGGGCCGUCGCGGCGGGACAAGAGCGGGGAUUCGCUCCCCGCCUAUGCCGUUGCGGCGGCCGAGGAACGAAGCGCGCGCCGACUCGUCUCGGCGUGGGGGAGGGCCCUCAAAGGCCCCCGCCCAACUGCGUGCUCGGGACGCUGGCGUAUUGAGCUCUUCAUCCGACCCGUCUUGAAACACGGACCAAGGAGUCUAACAUGUAUGCGAGCCGGUGGGCGGCAAACCCAUUGAGGCGCAAGUAAACUGACAGGUGGGACCCCGACCUCCGCGAGGCGGGAGGGAGCACCAUCGACCGACCGCGAUCUUCUGUGAAAGGUUUGAGUGUGAGCAUACCUGUUGGGACCCGAAAGAUGGUGAACUAUGCCUGAGCAGGGCGAAGCCAGAGGAAACUCUGGUGGAGGCUCGUAGCGAUACUGACGUGCAAAUCGUUCGUCAGACUUGGGUAUAGGGGCGAAAGACUAAUCGAACCAUCUAGUAGCUGGUUCCCUCCGAAGUUUCCCUCAGGAUAGCUGGAGCUCGUGGCAGGAGUUUUAUCAGGUAAAGCGAAUGAUUAGAGGCAUCGGGGGUGCAACACCCUCGACCUAUUCUCAAACUUUAAAUAGGUAAGCCGCCGGGGUUGCUUGGAUUUUGAACCCCGGCACAGAAUGAGAGCUCCAAGUGGGCCAU
rnacentral:rRNA from 1 species